rnacentral:rRNA from 1 species
GAAUUUAAGCAUAUAAUUAAGCGGAGGAAAAGAAACUAACCAGGAUUCCCCCAGUAAGGGCGACUGAAGCGGGAUGAGCUCAGGAUGUGAAUCUGCAUGCACUUGCUUGCGUGCCGAAUUGUGGUCUGUAGACCGUGACGUUAUCAUGCCGGGCCAAGUCCCUUGGAACAGGGCAGCAGAGAGGGUGAGACUCCCGUUCGCCUGGUGGUGUGAGUCGCGUGUCGACGAGUCGAGUUGUUUGGGAUUGCAGCUCUAAGUGGGUGGUAAAUUCCAUCUAAGGCUGAAUAUUGGUGGGAGACCGAUAGCGUACAAGUACCGUGAGGGAAAGAUGCAAAGAACUUUGAAAAGAGAGUUAAAGAGUACCUGAAAUUGCUGAAACGGAAGCGAAGGAAACCAGUGUCUGGUCGGAUCAUACUUCCCCCGCCACCUGUGGCUGGGGCGCUGUGGUCCCUCCAUGUGUCUUGCUUGGUUGUCGUUGAUGGAGGAGCGCCGACGGAGUUGACGUCCGGUUGCUAGCAUCUGGGGCGACCGAGCCAGACGAAAUGGUUUUCUUUACCCCGUCUUGAAACACGGACCAA